AGCAUGAAGAAAAUUAAAGGAAGGGAUGGGCUACCACCGGCCAUGGUAAGUCCUAAUGGUCUUGUAAUGGUUUAUGAAAUGAAAUCUAAUUCCUAUCAUUUGAAAAAGACAAAAGGCAAAUGUGUAUGUUGAAAGAAUAUAUAUAUUUUUUUCGUGUCAAUCCGAUAUAAGAAUAAAUAAUACAAAUGCCUUUACUUUGAAACUAUGAGAUCCUGUUUUACACUUUACAAAGCUCUAGUAUAGUUCUCUCUUUUAUGCACCAUCUCUCAGCUGCCCAGAUUUGGCCAUAUCAGCAACCACAUCCAACAUAAGGCACCAAAAUGAAAGGAUGGGACGUUAAAGAAUUUUAAUCAUCCAACGGAAUACUUGCUAUAGAAUGAAACAUUUCUUUCAUCUGCAAUAAGCUCUUUCAACUGUUGUCUUUUCAACAUUUACGUUAAUGGGAUGCUAUUAAGUCUUGUUGGUGUGAUCUUUACAGUUACCUUUAAGAGAACAAGUCAAUUUUGGUAUGCCAAUUGCUCAACGAUGCAAUAGUUGUUUGUCACAGAUCAAGAUCCUAUAACUUGCAUGUGGACCCUCAGAUGUAUCAUGCAAUGCGACAUGCCAACCCAUGGCCUUUGCUGUCUCUUGAAGUUCAUCCAUGACAUUGAGGGAGUCACGAAUGUAUGCCCGACCACCAGGUCUGAGUAUGCGAUCCAUCUCAAGCAUGAUGGUAGAGAUAUUACAUCUAAUGGAAAAGAAAUAUCCAGGUAAGAAGAGUCACCUUGACCUUAUAAAUGUAAUUACACGAUUUGCUAGCAGUCACUAACUGAGCAAAGACCAAAGCAUACCUUUUCCUUUCAAUAGAAAAGAGACCAGCUGCAUGCAAGAAAUCAUAGGUUCUUGGGUACGUAUCAAAUGGUUCACACCUGAUAACAUCAUAUAGAUUUGAAACCCAUUAAAACAUUUUAAAGCAACAGAUGAACCGUGAAGAAACUAGUAGGCCAAUUUGGAUAAAGCAUAAUAUUAUCCUCAUUAUCAGUGAUAAAAAAAAAAAAGGGGGUAUGCAGAAGAAAUGGUCACAGGAACAUCAGUUCAUUAUUUUUUGAUAUCAAGCAUCUUGUGAAAAUAAUCAUUAUAUACCCCCAAAAGUGAAUCCAAGCAGUAACAUAUUACCAAUCAUGCAUCACUCCUAGAAGUCCACGAUCAUAUAUAACAGGCAAGGUAUUGGGCCCACUAACAGGAACCACAUUCAGAACCCAGCAAUCAAAUCCUUGGUCAAUUAGUGCAGCUGCAAAUCUGCCAAAUCAAUAAAUAAACCACAAGAUUUCAGAAAUUUAAGAAACAUUAUGAUGGAAAAACUCAAGAUGAGAUGAACAAACCCUCCAAAGCUGGCUCUCAUAUCCAAUACGUUUCUUAAUUUGAACUUCUUCCAAUGCCAAGCACGUACAUAGCUGGCUAUUAUUUCAGACCAGUAUUUUGAUUCCGCCUUGAAUAGCUCUUUUCUGGACAUGUAGGCAUCCAUUUGUAUGCUCUGGAGCCUAUCAGGUGCGGUGUGCAAACGGUCAGGCCAUUUGGCGACAUUUGCUCCAUAUCCAUCUUCAGGAAUUCGAGUAAUGCAUGCCUUCAGAUCAACAUACCUAACAAAAAUGUGCAACCCACAAGAAGAAUUAGCCAAGUGAACUUCAAGGUGCAGGGAAGUUAUUUUGGUAUAAAUUUCGUCACUGCAUAUAACUUCAGUUGCAGGGAAGUUAUAUGGGCAUUAAUUUUGUCACUGCAUAUAACAGUUGACUGUUCUCCAGCUGGCCCAAGAGAGAUGGGAGCAUUUUUUCAGACUUUUCUCACAUAUAAAUAAUUUAAAAAGACAGCAAAUAAAAAUUUACAGAUAUGAUCCAUGGCAAGUAUGCCUGGAACAUUAAUAAGGAAAAGGAAUGCCCAAGCGUAUGGACUAAAGUUCUUAUGUUUAGGUGAGGGCAAAAACAAUGUCCUUCACAGCAUUGUAUAAUUAUCAUCCAAUAAACUAUCCUAAUUCUUUCAAACAAAUUCUCUCUACAGAAAAACCAAGGUGUUGAAAGAAAUGGUUAGGUUUGUUAGUCUACCUAAUUAAAAUUAGAAUCAACACAAGACGUGCCAUGCAAAUGUUCAUUAUCUUACAUUCACUUUUCUCUCAAUUGGCAUGAUUUUUAAUGUAUUUUGUGAAAAAAAUAGAGGUUUCUGAAAUGGAUGUGUUCUCUUGAUCUUAUUUUUCCUUUCCACGUUUACUUUUUAGUCAGAUGUCAACUGUGCCUACUCAAAAUUCAGUUUUACCUCUAGUUUUAUGCCUAAUAAGCAUAUCUAUGUAAUAAAUGUUUUUACAGCAAGGAAAACUGAGACCAUUAGUACACAGAUACUACCAGCUGCCAACAGAAAAAUUUAGGCGGGACAAUUGAUUUACCAAACAUUGUCAGGGUCAUCAUUUGGAUCACACAAAGGAGGCUUUAUUCCUGCUUCACGACUUAGGUAGCAGCUGUUGUUGAAGGGUUUCUUCCAUAUUGCAAUAUAUCCUUCCUUCUUAACAAGUGUCCAGCAAAGACGAGUGGUAAGGUUAAGCAUCUCUUCCCAAUGUUCCUCUAGAAUUUGCUCAUGCUUAUAAACUGGCUGUGCUGCCCAAGCAAAGUAUCCUCCUGCCCGAAGCAUCCUAUUGACCUCAAGGAGCAGGAUUCCAUCAUCACGAGUCCAAUUGAUUCUACAUCUUGAACAAUGUAUUACUUCAAAGGCUUGACUUGGAAAUAACAAACGGUGAGUAGCAAAUGCUGCAAUCAUUGCAGGUACACCACGCUCAAGAGCAAACUGAAUUUGGUUCUCAUGAACAUCCUUGGGAGCUAUUGACAUAGUUAACACAUUCCUUGAUAGCAAAUAGGCACCAAAACUUCCCACACCACAUCCAACAUCCAGAACAACCCGAGUAUGACUACCAAAUGCAAUAUCAGGGACCAUCUUAUUAAUCUGAUCCAAAUAUUGAUCUGCCCCAUGUAUGAACUGGGUACCACCACCAGGAAACUUAAACUUGUCUUUCACUUUAGAAAUCCAGUUUUGACCUCCUUUAUCUUCAACUAAACGAGUGUGAGGAACAUUGCUAUACCAUACCUCAUCUCGACUCCUCGGCCACGGAAUUGGCUGUCGGUAGCCUUUCGGCUGCGGGACCAAACAAUUCAAUCCUUUCCCUUCCUCCGGGCAAUGCCGUUCAUACUUUUCACCUCUCUCCGUCGAAUUCAACCUCUUAAUCGCCUCCACAUUAUCCAAACACGGAAUAUACUCUCUCAUACUCUCCGGGCAAAGCUCAAAUCUCUUAACCCUGAUACCAACAUCUUUCUCACCACUCUCAACUCCAGUCUCAUUCCCCCAAUUCUCCAGAACCUCCGGAUCGAACUCCCCAACCUCAAACUCAUUCCUCAUUCUCCCAUCACUGUCAAGAAUCCCAAACGUCCAAUUCAUAUCAAACAGCGAAGACUGAUCUGUCGUCAUCGGUGGCGGUUGAAUUGGAGAGGUUUGGAAUUGAGUUUGGGCGAUGAGAGCAGUGACAUUAAAGGACUUAUUGAAGUUAGGCGAAACAGCGACGGAUUUUUGCGGGGCUGAAGAAAAGAAGAUAAGUUGCUGGUAGCCAUUGGAAGACCAGUGCCUACCCAAGUAGAAGAAUGUGAUGAAGAUUAAAAUGAAGGCUGUGAUCUUGAGAACCAGAGGGGUUUUGAAGAGAUCCACAUUGGUGAGAGCUUUCAUGGCGGCAAAAGAGAAGCUAAAGCUACCAUACAAGUAAGAUCUUGGAUCCGUGAACUUAUGGGUUGUUAAUGGAGGAUUAUGGGUGCGAGAAUAAGUGAUUACGAGUUGUUACUUGG
rnacentral:misc_RNA from 1 species